AACGAACGCUGGCGGCAGGCCUAACACAUGCAAGUCGAGCGGGACCUUCGGGUCUAGCGGCGGACGGGUUAGUAACGCGUGGGAACGUGCCCAAAGGUACGGAAUAGCCUCGGGAAACUGAGAGUAAUACCGUAUGUGCCCUCGGGGGAAAGAUUUAUCGCCUUUGGAUCGGCCCGCGUUGGAUUAGGUAGUUGGUGGGGUAAUGGCCUACCAAGCCGACGAUCCAUAGCUGGUUUGAGAGGAUGAUCAGCAACACUGGGACUGAGACACGGCCCAGACUCCUACGGGAGGCAGCAGUGGGGAAUCUUAGACAAUGGGGGAAACCCUGAUCUAGCCAUGCCGCGUGAGCGAUGAAGGCCUUAGGGUUGUAAAGCUCUUUCAGAUGGGAAGAUAAUGACGGUACCAUCAGAAGAAGCCCCGGCUAACUCCGUG
rnacentral:rRNA from 1 species